rnacentral:lncRNA from 1 species
GUAAGUAUCCCUUGGUUCAAAUAGAACACAGGUUAUCAUGCCUUGACUUCUCAUGAAGGGUGAGACACUCCAAAGGAAGAUGGGGAGCUGACCCAGACAUUGUCAGCAGGUUCCCUCUGGGCUGAAGGGUCUUAUAUCUUGACCCAGAGUUCCCCCACUAUCUGUGGCUCUCUACAGUUAUCUUUUAAUUUUGUAUGUGUUCAAGAAUGCUUCCAGAGUUUAGAUAUUUCUGGAACACCAGCAGUCGCAGUUGCCAUACUGUAUCUCAAACAAGGAUUGCUUCUCAGAAUGAUGGCUGAAUUCACUGAACUAAAACACCAUUGCUAUUCCCAAGACUUUAGGGUUAAGAAUCUUGGACAGUCCCCAUCAGUAUCUGAAGAGACAUAAAGG